rnacentral:rRNA from 1 species
AAGCGCUUGUGACCAGACUUGUGCCUGGUAAAUCAGCUGGCGUUCUCGCCAGUGCAUUUUGCCGGUUCAGGCCAGCAUCAGUUUACCGUUGGGGAGAAAAACAGCAGGAACGUGGCUCUUCGGAGUGUUAUAGCCCGCUGUACAAUACCCUCCGGUGGACUGAGGUACGCGCUCCGCAAGGAUGCUGGCGUAAUGGUCAUCAGCGA